rnacentral:rRNA from 1 species
CGCGUAGGUGGUAGUGUAAGUCUGGGGUGGAAUCCCAGGGCUUAACCCUGGAACUGCCUUGGAAACUGCAUUACUUGAGUCAGUGAGGGGAGGGUAGAAUUCCUGGUGUAGCGGUGAAAUGCGUAGAUAUCAGGAGGAAGGCCUGUGGCGAAGGCGGCCCUCUGGCGCUGAACUGACACUGAGGCGCGAAAGCGUGGGGGGCAAACAGGAUUAGAUACCCUGGUAGUCCACGCCCUAAACGGUGGGCACUAGGUGUAGGGCUCGUAAGGGUUCUGUGCCGAAGGGAAACCAUUAAGUGCCCCGCCUGGGGAGUACGGCCGCAAGGUUGAA